rnacentral:lncRNA from 1 species
GUAUUUUGAUCAUCUCCAACUUUUUGUGAGCCUCUAUAAAUAUUAGAACCCACUUCCAAAACCCUAAUUCCAUCAUUUUUCUCUUCCAAUUCUCUUAAUAAUAUCUAAUUAGGGUUUCAUCAAGAACCCUAAUCUUCCAAAAUUCAUCCAUAAAUCUUCAAGCUUUCUUCAAGAAUCAAGUUCCUCAUAGUGUGGGCUUCGAGAAUCAUUUGUUACAAGUGAGGAAAGAGUCUCAAG